rnacentral:sRNA from 1 species
GACCAUAACCUGAAAACGAUUACAAAUUACUUGUAAAGGAGCUGGAUAUUCAGAUGGGUACAAUUGUAUGUCAAGAUUGCCAGAAGAUCAUUGAGCAUUAUGAAGAUGAGAAGGUUUCCACUCUUUAUAGUACUUGUCCGUCGUGCAACCCGAAAAAGAAAUAGUCAUUAUAUGCACAUACGAAAACCCCACCGGCCAUUCCGGUGGGGUUUAA